rnacentral:lncRNA from 1 species
AUAAAUCCACGCAAUAAUUUCUGAAUUUAGAGUAAGCAGAUAAAUGUUAACAGCAUUUCCUCCAUAAAGUUUCAGGAAUGAGCAUUCGAACAAGUAUCAUUCAUAUGUCAGUAUUUUAAUUAUGUGUGACAUGUAUCCCUAAGUGUUUGCACAAAGGCUACGUUUUGUUACAAGAACAUUCAUAGGGCAGUAGUUUUAGAAAUAUUUGUUGUUGAAUUUUUCAUAAAUUUAUGUUCGUUUGAAAUUAAAUUUUUAAACUGUUUUCUUUAAAGGAGUAGGGGCAAUAAGGCCCUUAUUUGGCCCAAAAAUUACUGCAAAUUUAAAAGUUAUCAUACAUAUUUUUAAAUUACUGAAAAGUAUCUCAGGUAGAAGGUAUUCAGAAAAACUAAAUAAUUUUGGACAUUGAACAAGUUACCAUGGCAACAAAUCAUGCCUUAAUUUGCAUAUUUUGUAAAAUUUUGUGUUUUUCCUUGUUUUUCAUCAAAUUUUUAAGUAUAUUUUUGAUUGGAAAAGUAUGUGCGCACCCAAG